AGAGUUUGAUCAUGGCUCAGAACGAACGCUGGCGGCAUGCCUAACACAUGCAAGUCGAACGAGACCUUCGGGUCUAGUGGCGCACGGGUGCGUAACGCGUGGGAAUCUGCCCCUCGGUUCGGAAUAACAGUUAGAAAUGACUGCUAAUACCGGAUAAUGACGAAAGUCCAAAGAUUUAUCGCCGAGGGAUGAGCCCGCGUAGGAUUAGCUAGUUGGUGGGGUAAAGGCCUACCAAGGCGACGAUCCUUAGCUGGUCUGAGAGGAUGAUCAGCCACAUUGGGACUGAGACACGGCCCAAACUCCUACGGGAGGCAGCAGUGGGGAAUAUUGGACAAUGGGCGAAAGCCUGAUCCAGCAAUGCCGCGUGAGUGAUGAAGGCCUUAGGGUCGUAAAGCUCUUUUACCCGGGAUGAUAAUGACAGUACCGGGAGAAUAAGCCCCGGCUAACUCCGUGCCAGCAGCCGCGGUAAUACGGAGGGGGCUAGCGUUGUUCGGAAUUACUGGGCGUAAAGCGCACGUAGGCGGCUAUUCAAGUCAGAGGUGAAAGCCCGGGGCUCAACCCCCGGAACUGCCUUCGAAACUAGGUAGCUAGAAUCUUGGAGAGGUCAGUGGAAUUCCGAGUGUAGAGGUGAAAUUCGUAGAUAUUCGGAAGAACACCAGUGGCGAAGGCGACUGACUGGACAAGUAUUGACGCUGAGGUGCGAAAGCGUGGGGAGCAAACAGGAUUAGAUACCCUAGUAGUCC
rnacentral:rRNA from 1 species